GGGCCUGUAGCUCAGCUUGGAUAGAGCGGCAUCCUCCUAAGGUGAAGGUCGUGGGUUCAAAGUAAACUUUUGAUAGUCCGAAAGUUAUGAAAAUCCCACCAGGCCCG
rnacentral:tRNA from 1 species